rnacentral:rRNA from 1 species
CACGGGGGGAGCAAGCGUUGUUCGGAUUCAUUGGGCGUAAAGAGCUCGUAGGCGGUCUGUCGCGUCGAUCGUGAAAACUUGGGGCUUAACCCUGAGCUUGCGGUCGAUACGGGCAUGACUGGAGUUCGGCAGGGGAGACUGGAAUUCCUGGUGUAGCGGUGAAAUGCGCAGAUAUCAGGAGGAACACCGAUGGCGAAGGCAGGUCUCUGGGCCGAUACUGACGCUGAGGAGCGAAAGCGUGGGGAGCGAACCGG